AUGUGGAAUGAUGAUAUUAAAGUUUCUGUUCAUAGUGCCUCCUUCUACUAUAUCCUAGCGAAUGUAGUUCAUCUAGCUUCGGGUGUUCACUUUUGUUUGAUCUGUAUAUAUGGUGACUCCUACCAUAGGCACACAAGUGCUAUCUGGAGUCAAAUUUCUACUUUUGUGUAUGAAAAUCUGGGAAAGCCCAUGAUGUGUAUGGGAGACCUUAAUGAUAUCUUGUAUGAUACAGAUGGAUGUAAUGGUAGUGUAAAUUACUAUUGUAUGUCGUCUUAUCAUUCUCUUGUUAAAAAUUGUGUUUUUAUAUUGGUUAUAGUGGCCCUGCGUACACUUGGCAAAAGAGACAACACACUAAUAAUCCUAUUUAUAGACGCUUAG
rnacentral:rRNA from 1 species